GGCGCGUGAUGUAUCUAAUUGUAGAUACAAGAUACUUAGUUAUUUACAGUUCUCAUACCAAGUAAAUUAUGUAAUUAUUUAUGAGAAAUAGAUAUCUUUAAACUUAUAGAUAAUCCGUCAACAUUACCUGGAAAAAUAACGAAACAACCACUCAACGAGCUUGUGUUUCAUUCCAUAUAAUAAGUAAUCACUUACAUAAAUAGGUAUAUUCAUUUAAUAAUAAUUAAAAUUAAAUAAUCAACAGAAUAUACAAACACAUAUGCUACUGUACAAGUACUAUUAAUAUAAGUUUUACUCAAAUACAAAAUUAUUUUUUCAACUUAGGAUGAUAUACAUCAAUAUUGACGUCAAAAAUAUAUUCAAAUCGAAGUCCCAAUGCGCAGGCGAAGAAGAAACGGCUUUUUCUUCAAAGUCGCUCGCCAUUGAUCUGUCUAAAACACUUGGCUUGUGUGAUAAAAUGACUCAUCGGAUAUGAUUCAUACACCACAUUUUCAUCGAUACAUUUACACAACAUUGUGUAUUCGGUAUUGGAUAUAAACUGGGGUUUAUCCCGUGUCUCUUCAGUCCACAUCCAGCUGCGUUCUAAGCAACAUUGCUUGAUAAUCAUCACAAAAAUACAAUGAGAGGACAUUGUUUUGAUCGUUUCGAACAAAUCGACAUGGAAUUCGGGAGAUUCAACCGUUUCGGGCCUCAUUUUGGCCCACACAGACAUGGAAGACAUUUUCAUGGCCCAGACUUCUUUGGAUUUGGGCGGCAUGGACACGGGCCUCAUCAUAGAGGUGGGCCUUUUGGACGACAUGGGCCCCAUAGCAGUUGCCACGUGGGACCUUUUGAUGUAAAGGAUAUGCAUCAUGGUGACCGCCAUCGAGGAUGUCACGGGCCACACCGCGGUCACCACGGUCACCAUGGCCCACAUGGGCCACACGGGUUUGGUCCACUUGGGCCGCAUGGCCCGCACGCAUUUGGCCCAUUCAGCCGGCGAGGACAUGGCGCACCGUGCUGCAGACCUCAAGAUGACGAACCAUGUUGCAGGACCGAAAAAUGCUGCAGGAAAGAAAAAUCUUGCUGCUCCAAAAAGGAUAAAUCGAAGGAAAAGAGUAAUGAAACUGUGUUGGUAGAAAGGGUCAUUGUCCACGAACCCCGUUGCAAUUCUGUUUGAAGCGAUCCAACAUUGCUUCGAAUUGGAAAUUAAAAGUGAUUCUUUAUCCAAACACAUCAAUAUAAUUUGGAAGAGAAAUCUUGAUGGAAUAAUUUUUAUUUGCGUAAGUAUUGUCUCAAUUAUUUGAAAUUCCAAGAAGAUAAUCUACGCAAUAUUUUACAAUGAAGAAGAGAUAAAGAAGAAUUGUAAUUUUCUCCCAAGUGAACAAUUAAGGAAGAAAAUAUGACUCAUCCAAAUGAGACGGCAGAUGAAGGAAUGCGACACAAAAUUUCAGUCAAUAACAUUGAACAAUUUUGCAAAAAGAAAUAAAUAAAUUGUAUUGAAACAUUAUGGCUUUUAA